rnacentral:rRNA from 1 species
AUUGAACGCUGGCGGCAGGCCUAACACAUGCAAGUCGAGCGAGCGGCGGGCGGGUGAGUAAUGUAUGGGGACUGCCCGAUAGAGGGGGCUAAAUACUGGAAACGGUAACUAAUACCGCAUACUAUCGGAUAACCCAUAUGGGAUUAUCUAGGAGGUGGGGUAAUGGCUAACAUAGGCGACGAUCCCUAGCUGGUCUGAGAGGAUGAUCAGCCACACGUGGACUGAGACACGGCCCAGACUCCUACGGAGGCAGCAGUGGGGAAUAUUGCACAAUGGGCGCAAGCCUGAUGCAGCCAUGCCGCGUGUAUGAAGAAGGCCCUAGGGUUGUAAAGUACUUUCAGUCGGGAGGCGUUACCGACAGAAGAAGCACCGGCUAACUCCGUGCCAGCAGCCGCGGUAAUAC